rnacentral:ncRNA from 1 species
GCACUAGAACAUAAAAACACUGUCCGGUUGGUAGUCCUGAUGCACUGAAUAAUUCAGUGUCGUAUCCUUCCCUCUCGGGAUGUCCCUUGUUCAGCAACUGUUU